UGGUGGUGUCUUUUAUUCAAUUCAAAGAAGAAGAAGUUUCUUUCCAUAAACAAGUUAUAAUCUUAUGGUUCUUGGAGUUUAUUUCGCAGGUAAAUGUUACUAGACAUCUAUAGAUCAUUCUCGUGGACUGUGGUUGAGUACGCUUGUUCUGAUUGCAACAUGCCUGCUAUGACAAAGAGUUUUGAGCACCACAAUUUUGGGCA